AACUCUAGACCAGGGUGGGAGACUGUCUCUGCUCUCAUCAGCUGUGGGCCUUGAGCCAGGGGUCCCUCUCACUCCUACAUAUACUUCCGUGCCUACAAAAUGAAGGGAUUGAACCAGAUGACCCGACACUCUUUGUUUCCUAUAACAGUUUUGGAAACCUUUCCUAAAUGCUCGUGCACUUAACUUUCCUGGUUCCUUCAGCGGUGACUAAAUACAAUGGAUGUUUCCCUGUUUCCUUGUGGUCCUCACUACCUGAUGGUGACUUAUGAGACAAGAUGGGUCUGUUUUUAACUGCCCCUAAGUGGGGUGUGAAAUUUUCACCCACACCCACCUCUCCACAAAAACACACCUCUGAGUUCUCUACGUUUACACCUCACUCGGGAAAUGGAAAUUGCUUUGAUUUAUCCUGAGCCCACCUUCUGAAAAAGCUGCUUUUUCCUGUUGUCUAGGAUUGGUUUGCAACCUUUCCAAGUCUUUUGCAUACUGUAUGAGUGGUGAAUCUUCGAGUUAGAGGUGGUAUUACAUACAGGAUUUCUCAAACUUACUUAGCCAGGGAACCCAAACACCCCUUGAAAAUGCCAUCUUACUAUGUAGCUAUCUCCCUUCACCUCCCAGCUGUAAUCCCAAAUAAACACGUAACCUUC